GUAAAACUUUAUAUUCUGUAAAAAAAAGGCUUUAUUUCCAGCGCCGCCUCCCAGAAUGCUUUGCAUGGGGACGUGCGUCUGACGUCACGUAUACAGAAAAUUCGAAAUGGCUGCACGCGGUAGGUGAGGCCCGAGCGUAGAAAAGUGGAAAAGAGUGUUAUUCGUCAAAAAACCCACACAACGACGGUCAUUUUUUCGCCGUGCUAUUGUAAAAUUGUCUUUUAUCUGUGUUUUGUGUUCCGGGGGACCCCGACUCCAGAAUGUGAAAGUUUCCCGCGUGAAGCCGGUGAGUAAAAAGUUCAAUACAGUUAACUUAGGCCAUCUUUUGUUAGACGCUGUGAAUGUGUGUAGGUUACAUGCUACGAUAUUCCACAUAUUUCCAACUGCUUGAAACGAAAGCGUAUUACUUUAUUGUCAGUGUUGUUUAGGCCCAGGUCGCUAACGUUACUGCGUUAGUCAACAACGUAACGCUAGUGGAAACAGCCGUUCUUUGCCAUUAAUAUGAGUGUGUAUUAUUUCUUUCUUUGUUCUUUAGUGGAGCUCGAGAUCCUGUUUACUGUGGACUAGCUGUGUGUGACGCCAUGUUGUUUUUGUUUCCAUUACAAAAAAAAAGCUCCACCGUCUCGCCGAGUGCCAGCAAGAGUCAUGAGUACUUGUCAACUCGACUCCUCAACUGGAGAUAACUUUCUAGCACCUCACCAUGGGGAAGGACGCAUUCAUAUGCCUUCACCAGCACCUGCAUUAAACAUGCAGAGAGUUACACAAGGAACGGCAGUCCCUCCUCGACUCCCUCCACCCCCCUCACCAGCAGCCCUCAACAUGUGGCAGACCCAGGAGCCUGGAUCCAGCCUGGCCUACAGGCCAACAUGGCGAGGGGGAAGAAUGGCCGACAACAUUUCCUGC